rnacentral:rRNA from 1 species
CUACGGGUCGCAGCAGUAAGGAAUAUUGCGCAAUGGAGGCAACUCUGACGCAGCCAUGCCGCGUGCAGGAAGAAGGCCUUAUGGGUCGUAAACUGCUUUUAUUUAGGAAUAAACCCCCGAACGUGUUCGGGGCUGAAGGUACUAAACGAAUAAGCACCGGCUAACUCCGUGCCAGCAGGCCGCGGUAAUACGGAGGGUGCAAGCAUUAUCCGGAUUUAUUGGGUUUAAAGGGUGCGCAGGCGGGCUAUUAAGUCAGUGGUGAAAUCCCGGGGCUCAACUCCGGAACUGCCAUUGAUACUGAUAGUCUUGAGUUUGGUUGAAGUGGGCGGAAUGUAGCAUGUAGCGGUGAAAUGCAUAGAUAUGCUACAGAACACCAAUCGCGAAGGCAGCUCACUAAGCCAAAACUGACGCUCAUGCACGAAAGCGUGGGGAUCAAACAGGAUUAGAUACCCGCGUAGUC